UGUUUAGAAAGGCAAGCAAUGUAAAUUAGUAAUUUUAGUAUAUAUUCACAGGAUUCUUAACUGAAAUUGUGUAAAAGUUAUAGUCAUUAGUUUUACAUAUUCAAAUUCAAAUCUUUUAACUAUAAUAUUUGGCCAUAUUACGACACUGAUUAAAAAGUACCACCAUUCAAAGAAUACAGACUACAUUAUAUGCCUAGCAACAACUGUUAUUGAUAUUUUGUAAGGAAAGAAAAAGGCAAUAUGAUAGGGGAAGCA
rnacentral:lncRNA from 1 species